UGAAGGGCUUUAGGUGAAUGCCUAGGCACUAAACGGUUAGAGGACGUACAAAAAAAACGAAAGGUUAUGUGGAGUGCUAAAAUGUACUGUGAUACAUAAAUUUCCUAAAGGGAAACCUACUCAUGAAAGAGUAUUACUUUACGUAAGACAUACGCAGUGAAUUGAAACAUCUAAGUAACUGCAGGAAAUAAAAAUCAACCGAGAUUCCGUUAGUAGUGGCGAGCGAACGUGGAGGUGGCCCUUAAGAAAAAAAGAAAAGGUGAGAGCGAAUACUUAUCAUUCACCGGACUCAACCAGAAAAACCAGCCAAAGGUUUGCCAAAGAAGGUGAAAGCCCUGUAAAAGGAAUGUGCGAAAUAUUUUUUUCUUAUGAGUAAAACGGCACACGUGUAAUGCUGUUUGAAUAUUGGGGGAUCACCCUCAAAGGCUGAAUAUAGUUUAGUGACCGAUAGUGUACAAGUACCGUAAGGGAAAGGUGAAAAGAACCGGAUAGGAUUGAAAAGAACCUGAAACCUAAGGCUUACAAACAGUUGGUGUCUUUUGAAAAGAUAACAGCGUACCUUUUGUAUAAUGGGUCAGCGACUUUAUUAUUGUAGCAAGCUUAAAUAAAAAGUAAUUGUAGGCGUAGUGAAAACGAGUUAUAAUAUAGCUUUUAGUUACAAUGAUAAGACCCGAAACCGAGUGAUCUAGCCAUGAACAGGUUGAAGAAAGGGUAAUACUUUUUGGAGGACCGAACCCACGUACGUGGAAAAGUGCGGGGAUGAGUUGUGGUUAGGGGUGAAAGGCCAAUCAAACUCGGAGAUAGCUGGUUUUCCGCGAAAUCUAUUUAAGUAGAGCGUUCAUUUUUAAGUUAUUGGGGUAGAGCACUCGAUGGGCUAGGGGGACUAGAAAUCUUACUAAACCCAAGGAAACUCCGAAUACAAUAACUAAAAAAAGAUGAGCAGACAGACCCUGGGCGCUAAGGUCCUUGGUCAAGAGGGAAACAGCCCAGAAUAAACGUUAAGGUCCCUAAAUCGUAUCUAAGUGAGAAAGAAUGUAGAAAAAUAUCUACAGUCGGUAGGUAGGCUUGGAAGCAGCCAUCCUUUUAAGAAAGCGUAAUAGCUCACUGAUCUAGUUUCUUUGCGUCAAAAAUGUAUAGGGACUUAAGAUACGUACCGAAGCGGUAUUUCUUUAAGAAGGUAGCGGAACGUUCUGUAUAUUGAGGAAGAAUAGUUGUGAGAUUAUUUGGAGAUAUCAGAAUUGAUAAUGCUGACAUGAGUAACGAUAAAGAACGCGCGAAACGUUCUCACCGUAAGUCCAAGGGUUUCUACGAUAGGCUAAUCCGCGUAGAGUUAUACGGCCCCUAAGGAAAAAGCGAAAGCUGUAUCCAAUGGGAGAUAGUUAUUUAAAGAUUACUAUUAUUUUUAGUGGUGACGAGAAUUUUAAUUUAUCUUUCUUUUAAAAAACUUAAGAAGGUAGAGCCAAUUCUCCAGGAAAAAACCCUAAGAAAAAAACCGUACCCUAAACCGACACAGGUGGACGAGUCGAGUAGACUCAGGUGCUUGAGAGAAUUACGUUGAAGGAACUCGGCAAAUUGACUCCGUAACUUCGGGAUAAGGGGUACCUUUCUAAGGGCAACCUUAAAAAGGUGGCACAGAAUAGGGGGUGGCGACUGUUUAGUAAAAACACAGGACUCUGCAAAUUCGUAAGAUGAUGUAUUGGGUCUGACACCUGCCCGGUGCUGGAAAGUUAAUGGGAGAUGUUUUCGCAUCGAACUGAAGCUCCAGUAAACGGCGGCGGUAACUCUGACCGUCCAAAGGUAGCGAAAUUCCUUGUCGGGUAAGUUCCGACCUGCAUGAAUGGUGUAACGACUUCCCCACUGUCUCCAACGUGAACUCAGUGAAAUUGAAUUGUCCGUGAAGAUGCGGACUACCUAUAGCUAGACGGAAAGACCCCAUGCACUUUUACUACAUCUUUGCACUGUAGAAGGUUAUAGAAUAUAUAGGAUAGGUGGGAGCCUUUGACAUCUUCACGCUAGUGAAUUCAUGUAGGCAUCCUUGGAAUACCACCUCUUUUAUCUUCUUCUACUCACUAAGAAUUAUGAAUCUAAUUCUAGGACAAUGCAUGGUUGGUAGUUUGACUGGGGCGGUCACCUCCUAAAGAGUAACGGAGGUGCGCAAAGGUGGACUCAAAUUGUUUUGAAUAUCAAUUGUAGAGUGUAAUGGCAUAAGUCUGCCUGACUGUAAGAUGUACAUAUCGAGCAGGGACGUAACGUCGGUCAUAGUGAUCCGGUGAUCCCGAGUGAAAGGGUCAUCGCUCAACGGAUAAAAAGUACGCUGGGGAUAACAGGCUAAUGACUCUUAAGAGCUCCUAUCGACGGAGUCGUUUGGCACCUCGAUGUCGACUCAUCACAUCCUGGAGCUGGAGAAGGUUCCAAGGGUUUGGCUGUUCGCCAAUUAAAGUGGUACGUGAGUUGGGUUUAGAACGUCGUGAGACAGUUUGGUCCCUAUCUACUAUAGGCGUUAAUAAUUGAGAAGAUUUCAUUCUAGUACGAGAGGACCGAAUGGAGCUGACCUCUAAUAGACCGAUUAUAUUGUUAAAUGUACUGUCGGGUAGUCACGUUAGUAAAGGAUAAUUGCUGAAAGCAUCUAAGCAAGAAACCCCCUUCAAGAUUAAUUAUUAAAGAGGUGGAAGAUUACCACUUGAUAGGCUUGGUAUAAAAGAAGGGUGACCUUUUUAGUUAACAAGUACUAAUUACUUUUAAUUAUUUUA
rnacentral:rRNA from 1 species